UGGGGAAUAUUGCACAAUGGGCGCAAGCCUGAUGCAGCCAUGCCGCGUGUAUGAAGAAGGCCUUCGGGUUGUAAAGUACUUUCAGCGAGGAGGAAGGGGGAGUGGUUAAUAACCAUUUUCAUUUGACGUUACUCGCAGAAGAAGCACCGGCUAACUCCGUGCCAGCAGCCGCGGUAAAUACGGAGGGUGCAAGCGUUAAUCGGAAUUACUGGGCGUAAAGCGCACGCAGGCGGUCUGUCAAGUCGGAUGUGAAAUCCCCGGGCUCAACCUGGG
rnacentral:rRNA from 1 species